UACGGGGGGGGCAAGCGUUGUUCGGAAUUACUGGGCGUACAGGGCUCGUAGGCGGCCCACUAAGUCAGACGUGAAAUCCCUCGGCUUAACCGGGGAACUGCGUCUGAUACUGGAUGGCUUGAGGUUGGGAGAGGGAUGCGGAAUUCCAGGUGUAGCGGUGAAAUGCGUAGAUAUCUGGAGGAACACCGGUGGCGAAGGCGGCAUCCUGGACCAAUUCUGACGCUGAGGAGCGAAAGCCAGGGGAGCAAACGGG
rnacentral:rRNA from 1 species